rnacentral:rRNA from 1 species
UGAAGGCCUUCGGGUCGUAAAGCUCUGUUGUUAGGGAAGAACAAGUACCGUACUAACUGCGCGUACCUUGACCGUACCUAACCCGAAAGCCACGGCUAACUUCCUGCCCGCAGCCGCGGUAAUACCUAGGUUGCAAGCGUUUUCCGGGAUUAUUGGGCGUAAAGCGCGCGCAAGGGGUUUCUUAAGUCUGAAGUGAAAGCCCCCGGCUCAACCGGGGAAGGGCAUUGGAAACUGGGGGACCUGAAUGCCAAAAAAGAAAACGGAAUUCCCCCUGUAACGGUUAAAUGCCUAAAAAUUUUGAAGGACCCCCGUGGCCAAAGGCGCUUUCUGGUCUGUAACUGACCCUUAA